rnacentral:rRNA from 1 species
GAUUCUGGCUCAGAAUGAACGCUGGCGGCAUGGAUUAGGCAUGCAAGUCGAACGAGAAAGCCCGCAAGGGCGAGUAAAGUGGCGAAAGGGUGAGUAACACGUGAGCAACCUGCCCCCGAGACCGGAACAAGCCUGGGAAACCGGGUCUGAAACCGGAUGAGGACCGGGAAGGCAUCUUCCCGCCUCCAAACAUUUCAUGGCUCGGGGAUGGGCUCGCGGCCCAUUAGCUUGUUGGCGGGGUAACGGCCCACCAAGGCUGCGACGGGUAGGUGGUCUGAGAGGAUGGUCACCCACACUGGGACUGAGACACUGCCCAGACUCCUACGGGAGGCUGCAGUCGAGAAUCUUCCGCAAUGGGCGAAAGCCUGACGGAAGCGAUGCCGCGUGAGGGACGAAGGCCUUCGGGUCGUAAACCUCUGUCGCAGGGGACGAAAUUGAACGACGGUACCCUGCAAGAAAGCCACGGCUAACUACGUGCCAGCAGCUGC